UUAAGUUCAGCGGGUAGUCCUACCUGAUUUGAGGUCAGAUGUCAUAUUCGAUUGUCCCGGAGGGGACGAUUAUAAGCUCGCCCGACUGAGGCUUCAACGACCACGGCGUAGACAAUUAUCACACCGAGAGCCGAUCCGCAAGGGAUGGAGCUAAUGCAUUCCAGAGGAGCCGACCCGAAUGGGGACCGGCAUGAGCCUCC
rnacentral:misc_RNA from 1 species